rnacentral:rRNA from 1 species
UACAGAGGGUGCGAGCGUUAAUCGGAAUUACUGGGCGUAAAGCGUGCGUAGACGGUUACGUAAGUCGGGUGUGAAAGCCCCGGGCUCAACCUGGGAAUUGCAUUCGAGACUGCGUAGCUAGGGUGCGGAAGAGGGAAGCGGAAUUUCGGGUGUAGCGGUGAAAUGCGUAGAUAUCCGAAGGAACAUCAGUGGCGAAAGCGGCUUCCUGGUCCAGCACCGACGUUCAGGCACGAAAGCGUGGGGAGCAA